CAGUGAAAUUUGCCCUUGUGGGCAAGUGAAAUACGCCUGCGGCGUGUGAAAUGCGAUAACUCGCGUGAAAUGUUCG
rnacentral:sRNA from 10 species